GUAUGCUUNGGAAACUGUUAGACUUGAGUGCAGAAGGGGAGAGUGGAAUUCCAUGUGUAGCGGUGAAAUGCGUAGAUAUAUGGAGGAACACCGGUGGCGAAAGCGGCUNUCUGGUCUGUCACUGACGCUGAGGCUCGAAAGCGUGGGUAGCGAACAGGAUUAGAUACCCUGGUAGUCCACGCCGUAAACGCUGAGUGCUAGGUGUUAGGUCCUUUCCGGGACUUAGUGCCGACGCUAACGCAUUAAGCACUCCGCCUGGGGAGUACGACCACAAGGUUGAAACUCAAAGGAAUUGACGGGGGCCCGCACAAGCGGUGGAGCAUGUGGUUUAAUUCGAAGCAACGCGAAGAACCUUACCAGGUCUUGACAUCCCGAUGCCCGCUCUAGAGAUAGAGUUUUACUUUUUGUACAUCGGAGACAGGUGGUGCAUGGUUGUCGUCAGCUCGUGUCGUGAGAUGUUGGGUUAANNNNNNNNNCGAGCGCAACCCUUAUUGUUAGUUGCCAUCAUUAAGUUGGGCACUCUAGCGAGACUGCCGGUAAUAAACCGGAGGAAGGUGGGGAUGACGUCAAAUCAUCAUGCCCCUUAUGGCCUGGGCUACACACGUGCUACAAUGGUUGGUACAACGAGUCGCAAGCCGGUGACGGCAAGCUAAUCUCUGAAAGCCAAUCUCAGUUCGGAUUGUAGGCUGCAACUCGCCUACAUGAAGUCGGAAUCGCUAGUAAUCGCGGAUCAGCACGCCGCGGUGAAUACGUUCCCGGGCCUUG
rnacentral:rRNA from 1 species